UACGUAGGGUGCGAGCGUUGUCCGGAAUUAUUGGGCGUAAAGAGCUUGUAGGUGGUUUGUCGCGUCUGCUGUGAAAAUCCGAGGCUCAACCUCGGACUUGCAGUGGGUACGGGCAGACUAGAGUGUGGUACGGGAGACUGGAAUUCCUGGUGUAGCGGUGGAAUGCGCAGAUAUCAGGAGGAACACCAAUGGCGAAGGCAGAUCUCUGGGC
rnacentral:rRNA from 1 species